AAGGAGGAAGACGUUUUGGGAGUGAAAGAGGAGGAGACAGAAUAUCAGAUUAACACUAGAGAGAGACAUGACUAUCCUGGAUCCUCUGCGGAGUCUCAACAACAUCCUGAUGCUGACGAGGCAGAGAAGAGUCUCUCCAGAUCAGAACACCAGAUGGACAACGCUAACCCUUCCUCCCUCCCGGAGUCCCCGUGU